UGGGGAAUUUUGGACAAUGGGCGCAAGCCUGAUCCAGCCAUGCCGCGUGAGUGAAGAAGGCCUUCGGGUUGUAAAGCUCUUUCAGACGGAAAGAAAUCUCUCAGGAUAAUACCUUGGGAGGAUGACGGUACCGUAAGAAGAAGCACCGGCUAACUACGUGCCAGCAGCCGCGGUAAUACGAAGGGUGCAAGCGUUACUCGGAAUUACUGGGCGUAAAGCGUGCGUAGGUGGUUUGUUAAGUCUGAUGUGAAAGCCCUGGGCUCAACCUGGGAAUUGCAUUGGAUACUGGCAGGCUAGAGUACGGGAGAGGGGGAUGGAAUUCCGCGUGUAGCAGUGAAAUGCGUAGAUAUGCGGAGGAACACCGAUGGCGAAGGCAAUCCCCUGGGCCUGUACUGACGCUCAUGCACGAAAGCGUGGGGAGCAAACA
rnacentral:rRNA from 1 species